GUCCGAGCUAAUCAGCUUAGAACACCAGUACCAUCUUAAUGUGGGAUUUGGGACCUUCUAGAUGCAGGAUAUUUUCCUGUCACACCAGGAAGCUGCACUGCCGACUGGUAUUGAACAGCCACCAUCUGAAUAUGUGAGAUACCAGCCUUUUCAGCUCAUGGCUUCUCCACAUGGCCAGAAGAUUGUCAUGACCUCUAUGCAGUUCGGCCUUGGAUGGAACUUCUUACAGCAGAGCUGACUGUGAGGAAAUCACUGUUGGUAUUCUGCCCUGACAUGGCAGAUCCUGCUCAGAACCCUCAUCCUGUGAAAACUUCUGUUUGUAUUCCCAAGCCUGUGGAGCAGUCCCUGAAAGCCGUACAGGACACAGCUCAGAAACACUUGAUAAAGUUCACCGUCUGUUUCUUAAGUGGUUUCAAAUAAACAGCCAGCUU